rnacentral:miRNA from 1 species
UCGCUUGGGCAGAUCGGGAC